rnacentral:tRNA from 1 species
GCGUCAUUGGUGGAAUUGGUUUACACAGUGGUCUUAGAAACCGUACCUUAUGGUUGUGGGUUCGAGUCCCACAUGACGCA